AUUGAACGCUGGCGGCAUGCCUUACACAUGCAAGUCGAACGGCAGCACGGGAGCAAUCCUGGUGGCGAGUGGCGAACGGGUGAGUAAUGUAUCGGAACGUGCCCAGUCGUGGGGGAUAACGCAGCGAAAGCUGUGCUAAUACCGCAUACGAUCUAUGGAUGAAAGCGGGGGAUCGCAAGACCUCGCGCGAUUGGAGCGGCCGAUAUCAGAUUAGGUAGUUGGUGGGGUAAAGGCCCACCAAGCCUGCGAUCUGUAGCUGGUCUGAGAGGACGAUCAGCCACACUGGGACUGAGACACGGCCCAGACUCCUACGGGAGGCAGCAGUGGGGAAUUUUGGACAAUGGGCGCAAGCCUGAUCCAGCAAUGCCGCGUGCAGGAUGAAGGCCUUCGGGUUGUAAACUGCUUUUGUACGAGACGAAAAGACUCGCUCUAAUACAGGGCGCUAAUGACGGUACCGUAAGAAUAAGCACCGGCUAACUACGUGCCAGCCGCCGCAGUAA
rnacentral:rRNA from 1 species